UACCUUGCCUCUAGGCAAAACAUAUCAAUUCUGAAGCUGUAUUAGUAGACUUUGAAAGCAAAAUUUCAAAGGUUGAAAAUUCGGCAAACGAGCAUACAA
rnacentral:ncRNA from 1 species